AUUUGUUUUGGCAAGAUAUAUACUAAAAUUGGAGCAAUACAGAUAAGAUUAGCAUAGUCCCAGCUCCAAGAUGACAUACCAAUUCAUGAAGUGUUGUAUAUUUUC
ensembl:snRNA U6 U6 spliceosomal RNA